rnacentral:RNase_P_RNA from 1 species
UAAAAUGUGGGAUUGAUCGCGCGUACUCGCCACUAAAAGGCCUUGGCCUCCAUUGCGAGUGGGAAAUUCGGUGUAACACUUCCCUCUGAAAUACUCAAGUGCUCUUGAGAGCGCCUCGCGGAAGCGGGGAGCAGCGUUAUCAGAAAUGAAGCAAUAGCAUGGGAAUGGCGCUGUGAGGGAUUGCGCGGGUGACCGUAGCUUAAGUGCAAUGCGCGAUUCAGAUGUCUGAACCUCGAUACCGAUCACAAUUCUACAUUUUUAUCAGUUUAUUUU